GACGAACGCUGGCGGCGUGCUUAACACGUGCAAGCCGAACGCAUCCUUCGGGGUGAGUGGCAGACGGGUGAGUAACGCGUGGGAACGUGCCCUUCAGUUCGGGAUAACCCAGGGAAACUUGGGCUAAUACCGGAUACGUGCGAGAGCAGAAAGAUUUAUCGCUGAAGGAUCGGCCCGCGUCUGAUUAGCUAGUUGGUGGGGUAAUGGCCCACCAAGGCGACGAUCAGUAGCUGGUCUGAGAGGAUGAUCAGCCACAUUGGGACUGAGACACGGCCCAAACGCCUGCGGGAGGCAGCAGUGGGGAAUAUUGGAGAAUGGGCGCAAGCCUGAUCCAGCCAUGCCGCGUGAGUGAUGAAGGCCUUAGGGUUGUAAAGCUCUUUCGUCCGGGACGAUAAUGACGGUACCGGAAGAAGAAGCCCCGGCUAACUUCGUGCCAGCCGCCGCUGUAA
rnacentral:rRNA from 1 species